CAUGAACCAGUAAAUGCAUUUCUAACUCAUCAACAGCCCUAAAAUUUAAAUCCCACGCAGCCACACUGAUGAUACCGCAGAGAGAAUCGUCUAUGGUGAUUCGCUGAUUCAUCAUUCAUAUUUUUGGAUUUUGCUCUUCUAGGUAAUAAAUCAACACCCUCUUCUUGUAAAAUUUUUGUGAUUUGUUUAUCGGUAUGUUCUUUUGACCUCGUCUACUUAAAGUCUUAAAGGACUGUUUGAUUGAAUGCUUACAAAAUGAUUCAACCUAAUAAACUUAAAGGCAGUGGAAUUCUGGUGAUUGGUUCGUCACUUUGUCUUCAGGUCUUCUUGUUAUCUAUGGAAAAAAAAAUUGGGAAUUUUGAAUAAGAGUUCAUCAUAGAUCCGAAUUGUUUGGUUGUUCAGAAUCUGCAUUUUACUGGAUGGUAUAUUAAUACAGUAUUACGGUAUAUUACAUUAUCACUGGAUGGUAUAGAUCCGAAUUCUUUGGUCUGUAUGUGUUUGAAUUUUUGGAAUUUUAAUAAAGUAGUACGGUAUAUUAAUUGGCUACAUUGUAAUUUUUUUAUUUUUCGUUAUCGAUAUUCGAGUUUGAUUUUUCUUAAAAACUAAUUUAAAUGUUGUUGACGUUUAGAGUUUAGCUCUUGUGACUUUUUCAGAAACCUGGUCAUCGAUAUGUAAUCAGCGGUGUAUUGGUAUGGGAUUUGGGAGUAAUUCAUUGCAGCUUAGUUGAGAAAGCUAGAUAAUUAAUUUGGUUAGUUUAUUAUUCUCUGUAGUUUCGUUUGAAGACGACAAAUUCAGAAAGGGAUCUUUAUUUAUUGAAGUGACAAAAUUUCUCUCUCUCUUAAUGUCUAGGAUCAAAGAGUGUGAUACAAUAAUGUUCAUAAUUAUUCUUAUAAUCUUAUUCAUAUUUAAAUUAAGUUGGUUAAAUUAUGAAAAUAUUUUAGUUUUAACUUCCACUUAUGACUUGUACAUUUUAGUUGGCAGCUGACAGCCCAAUUGUGGAGUGGAGAUAUAAGCUGCUUGAUGAAAAGAGAUUAUUAUCAAUUUCAAGUUUAGACAUCAUUCUCAAUUUCAAUUUUCAAGUAAUGACUUUCUCUAACUUGAUGAAAUAGAAUUGUUCAUGAAAUUAAUUGCUGUGUAUUAUGAUUUAUGAAUUUCGUGUUGCCCUUUGAUGAAAAACGAAAUAUGAUAUUAAUAAAUUUAUGUAUUGAAUUUGAAUUUGUAACAGUUAUGGAGAAAUAUUUUAAAUGAAAAUCCGUAUUUUCAAGUGGAGAGCAAAAUGUGGUUGAAGCGAGCGUUCAAGAUAAAAUAGAUGACCGAGAAGAAACAAAUAUUGGGGGUAAAAUAGAUGUUCAAGACAAAUUGAUUUAGCACAACUUCCUUCAAAUCCCGGAUUAAGAACUCCAAUUGUGAAUUACAAUGUUAAUGUCCGGGAUGAAAUUCGAACAACAUAUAUACAAAGGGGUCUAUGUCAGCCUCAAAAUCAUAAGUAUCCACAAAAAGAAUUUGGAGAUUCAUCUUUAAGGCUAUUUAAAUCUUCUUGGUUUAAUGACUUCCCUGAUUGCUUGGAAUAUAGUAUAGAAAAAGAUGUUCUAUUUUGUUUUUAUUAUUAUCUUUUCAAAUCAAUAGUGAAGAACAUGGUGGUGGUAAUGCUUUUGUUGAUGAAGGGUUUUCAAAUUGGAAAAAGAAGGACGGCUUCGAACUCAUGUUGGAAAAAAUGGCAGUACACACAAUCAAGCGUGGAUUAAGUAUGAGGCUUUUGUGAAUCAAAAACAAAAUAUUGAUAGUGUUCUCUUUAAAAAUUCGAAGAGAACAAAAGAUGAUUACCGAGUUCAUUUGAAUGCAUCAAUUGAUUGUGUUCGAUUACUUUUACGGCAAGAGCUUUCAUUUCGUAGAAAUGAUGAAUUUGAAGAUUCAAGAAAUCAAGGGAAUUUUCUUGAACUGUUGAAGUGGUUAUGUGAUCAUAAUAAUGAGAUUAAGGCUUCUUGUUUGAAAAAUGCUCCCAAAAAUCUUCAAUUGAUAUCACCUAGUGUUCAAAAGGAUAUUGUGAGUGCUAUUGCAUUUGAAACACUUGAUAUUAUUAUGAAAGAUAUUGAUGAUGGGUUGUUUUCUGUUCUUGUUGAUGAAUCUCGUGAUGUUUCAGUGAAGGAGCAGAUGUCAGUUGUUUUACGUUAUGUGAAUAAGAAAGGGCAAGUAAUGAAACGUUUUAUCGGCGUUGAACAUGUGGCUAGUACUACAGCUCUCUCACUUAAGGAUGCCAUUGAACACUUUAAUUUAAGUAUAUCUAGCUUAAGAGGUCAAGGCUACGAUGAGGCAAGUAAUAUUCGAGGUGAGUAUAAUGGUCUUAAAGUACUUAUUUUGAAAGAGAAUCCGAGUGCUUUCUAUAUUCAUUGCUUUGCUCAUCAGCUGCAACUAGCUCUUGUAGCUGUGGCAAACAAACAUGCAAAGAUUGAAAUGUUCUUUACUCUAGUGAAUAAAGUGGUGAAUUUUGUUGGAGGAUCCACUAAGCGGUGUGAUCUUCUUCGAGAGAAGAAGAGGCUUGAAGUUGUUGAAUCAUUGAAUUUUGGUGAAAUCUCAAGUGGAAAGGGACUUAAUCAAGAAACUAAUCUUCAGCGACCCGGUGAUACUUGUUGGGGCUCUCGCUAUAGUUCUUUACUUAGCUUGAUUCUCAUGUUUUCAGCUACAGUUGAUGUCAUUGAGAUGAUUACCACUGAUGACUCUAGUUUUGGACAGAAAGGUAAAGCUCGUAUUCUAUUAGGAUUUAUGUUGACAUUUGAUCAUUCUGCAUCUCACGGAAAAGGUAUUGGGUAUUUCAGAUGAGUUGUCAAAAUCAUUACAAAGAAGAUAUUAGGACAUUGUUAAUGCUAUGAAAUUGGUGAAAAUAUGUAAAGAAUGGCUCCAAACAACGAGGGACAAUGAAUGAGACUCAUUUUUACAAAUAUUUUCUUGUUUUUGCGAAAGGCACAACAUUGAUGUUCCCAACAUGGAUGAUAUGUUUAUACCUCUAGGUCCCUCAUGGCGUAUCAAUCAAGGAAUAACAAAUGUACGUCAUUUUCGUGUGGAUUUCUUCUAUGCUAUCAUCGAUCUGCAAAUUCAAGAGUUGAAUGAUCGUUUCUCUGAGGCAAAUGGCAACUUACUCCUUUGUAUUGCAUGCUUAUGUCUGGAAAAUUCAUUUUCUACUUUUGACAAGGACAAGUUACUUCAAUUGUGUGAGUAUUAUCCCAAUGAUUUUAAACCAGUAGAGAUCUUAACACUUGAAGAGCAACUUCAAACAUAUAUUAUUGAUAUGCGCACUCACAAAGAUUUUGAAGGGUUACGAAGCCUUAAUGAUCUUGCGGAAAAGUUGGUAUUAACCAAAAAAAAAAAAAUGAUGUAUAUCCAUUGGUUUACA
rnacentral:lncRNA from 1 species